ACGGGGGGUGCUAGCGUUGUUCGGAAUCAUUGGGCGUAAAGAGCGUGUAGGCGGCUGGAUAAGUCAGAUGUGAAAGCCCUGGGCUUAACCCAGGAAGUGCAUUUGAAACUGUUCAGCUUGAGUAAGGGAGAGGAAAGUGGAAUUCCUGGUGUAGAAGUUACAUUCCUAGUUAUGAGGAGGAGCCCCGGUGGCGAAGGCGACAUACUGGCCCUAUUCUGACGCUGAGACGAGUGAGCGUGUGUAGCAGUCAG
rnacentral:rRNA from 1 species